rnacentral:snoRNA from 1 species
AUUCCGUGAUGAGGGCACUUUCAUAAUAAUUCUUUGUACCUUUCCCAUGCCUCAUAUAAGGAAUUAUCAUCCAUUUGUUGGAAAGCAGUGAUCUCAUUCCUCAACUU